CUGAUUAAUGAUCCAGUUUUGGGUUCUUGGUGUAGCAGAAACGAUGCAUCAACUCACCCCGGAGAUUAAUGGGGUUGAUAAGAAGACACUUUGUGAAGCAAAAGUGUGGGUGAAUUCAAGGUUGAACUUCAAGGAGUUGCAGGAGUUCAAGUCUGUCGGUGAUGAUGCCUCUAUCACUACUUCUCCUAUCUUGGCUACAAAUAAUGUAUGACUACAAACAAUAUAUAUGUGUAUAUGUAUGCAAGACGUUGAUCAAUUGAAAACUUUGAUCAAGAAAAUUUGCUUUUGUAAGGACAUAUGAGCAUGAAUGAGACGGAGGGAAAUUCUAUGAGAUGAUCCAGUACACUACUUUGCUGAUCAUGCUGUCAAGUGCAUCCAAAAGAGAUCUAAAUCUCUGUUACUUUAUGAACUUCAAUAGGUUGUGCAUGCUAACGCUGAGUCUUUUGCCACUUCAGGUUUGAGAAAACUUCCUGAAUUCAUAUUUUGUUUCAACAGACCGUAAAAUUUGAGGUUUACCGAGCUUCCGUAGAUGACAUCAGGACUAUAUGCUUUGGAGAUGUGUGCGGAUUUUUUGAGCUGUGAAACAUGACUAUAUAGUGGAGUUUAUUAUA